rnacentral:lncRNA from 1 species
CGCGUGCAGGCGACACCGGGUCGCGCACGGCGCAACGCGCCAGACAAGAGCCUCUAGGCCGCGGAGUGGAGUCUGCACGCCCGGAGUGACAGAUUCCCCCCUAGUCCCGGCCUUUACUCCCCACCCACAUUCCCAUUCCUGUAACCGAACCCAUGGAGUUCAGAGAGGGCAGUUCACCUCCCUGAGGUGGAACAGCACGGAGAAGCCAGCAGCACACCGCCGGCUCUGCCAUCUCCAGGGCUGAAGACAAGGUAGCGGGUGCCAAAGAUGGGCGGGGCACUUCUCAAACUAACCGCGCGGAGACAGGCUCAGAGCUGCCGCCCCCUCCCCUUUUCACCUCUAACUGUGCUCUGUUAAUCCUAGCAGCUCCCCACUCCGGGUUGGAUGUGAGAACAGAGAAGAAGGGUUGGAGAGCAGCCAGUCCGGGAUGAGGCAGGAGGGUGACAGGCUCAAAACCAGCCUGGGCAAGAUGCUCAGACCACGUGGUGGUGGUUGUGGGGGAGGAGGGGAGUGAGAGUUGGGACCCAGCUCCAGACAAGGCCUGGUCACACAUUAACUCCAAGGUCACUCACGUUUUUGUUGUUCUGUAAAAGCCACAGAG